CAGUCGCCACGGGAAUACGUAGGGUGCGAGCGUUAAUCGGAUUUACUGGGCGUAAAGCGUGCGCAGGCGGCCCGUUAAGACAGGUGUGAAAUCCCUGGGCUCAACCUAGGAAUUGCGCUUGUGACUGGCGGGCUCGAGUACGGUAGAGGGGGGUGGAAUUCCUGGUGUAGCAGUGAAAUGCGUAGAGAUCAGGAGGAACACCGAUGGCGAAGGCAGCCCCCUGGGCCUGUACUGACGCUCAUGCACGAAAGCGUGGGGAGCAAACAGGAUUAGAGACCCCGGUAGUCCCUGUCUCUUAUAC
rnacentral:rRNA from 1 species